rnacentral:rRNA from 1 species
CAUUACACAAAUAUGAAGGCGGGCUGGAACCUCUCGGGGUUACAGCCUUGCUGAAUUAUUCACCCUUGUCUUUUGCGUACUUCUUGUUUCCUUGGUGGGUUCGCCCACCACUAGGACAAACAUAAACCUUUUGUAAUUGCAAUCAGCGUCAGUAACAAAUUAAUAAUUACAACUUUCAACAACGGAUCUCUUGGUUCUGGCAUCGAUGAAGAACGCAGCGAAAUGCGAUAAGUAGUGUGAAUUGCAGAAUUCAGUGAAUCAUCGAAUCUUUGAACGCACAUUGCGCCCUUUGGUAUUCCAAAGGGCAUGCCUGUUCGAGCGUCAUUUGUACCCUCAAGCUUUGCUUGGUGUUGGGCGUCUUGUCUCUAGCUUUGCUGGAGACUCGCCUUAAAGUAAUUGGCAGCCGGCCUACUGGUUUCGGAGCGCAGCACAAGUCGCACUCUCUAUCAGCAAAGGUCUAGCAUCCAUUAAGCCUUUUUUUCAACUUUUGACCUCGGAUCAGGUAGGGAUACCCGCUGAACUUAAGCAUAUCAAUAAGCGGAGGAAAAGAAACCAACAGGGAUUGCCCUAGUAACGGCGAGUGAAGCGGCAACAGCUCAAUUUGAAAUCUGGCUCUUUUAGAGUCCGAGUUGUAAUUUGCAGAGGGCGCUUUGGCUUUGGCAGCGGUCCAAGUUCCUUGGAACAGGACGUCACAGAGGGUGAGAAUCCCGUACGUGGUCGCU